UGCCGGGUCGAUAGCUCCUAAUACAAAACCCCUCGGGGAAAUAAGAGCAGCGCUCCAUGUAGCGUAGUUGAGUCCCGGCAUUUCUCAU
rnacentral:ncRNA from 1 species